rnacentral:rRNA from 1 species
CCUACGGGAGGCAGCAGUGGGGAAUAUUGGGCAAUGGGCGCAAGCCUGAUCCAGCAACGCCGCGUGAAGGAAGAAGGCUUUCGGGUUGUAAACCUCUUUUGUCAGGGAACAAAGGCGGGGACUAGUCCCCGGAUGAGGGUACCUGAAGAAAAAGCAUCGGCUAACUCCGUGCCAGCAGCCGCGGUAAUACGGAGGAUGCGAGCGUUAUCCGGAUUUAUUGGGUUUAAAGGGUGCGCAGGCGGCCUGUUAAGUCAGCGGUAAAAGCCCGGGGCUCAACCCCGGCGAGCCGUUGAAACUGGCGGGCUGGAGUUGGAGAGAAGUACGCGGAAUGCGCGGUGUAGCGGUGAAAUGCUUAGAUAUCGCGCAGAACCCCGAUUGCGAAGGCAGCGUACCGGCUCCACACUGACGCUGAGGCACGAAAGCGUGGGUAUCGAACAGGAUUAGAUACCCGAGUAGUC